UACGGAGGGCGCGAGCGUUAAUCGGAAUUACUGGGCGUAAAGCGCGCGUAGGCUGUUGUGUAAGUUGGGGGUGAAAUCCCACGGCUCAACCGUGGAACAGCCCUUGAUACUGCGCGACUUGAAUCCGGGAGAGGGUGGCGGAAUUCCAGGUGUAGGAGUGAAAUCCGUAGAUAUCUGGAGGAACAUCAGUGGCGAAGGCGGCCACCUGGACCGGUAUUGGACGCUGAGGCGCGAAAGCGUGGGGAGCAAACAGGG
rnacentral:rRNA from 1 species